rnacentral:rRNA from 1 species
AUGAACGCUGGCGGCGUGCCUAAUACCUGCAAGUCGAGCGAACAGACGAGGAGCUUGCUCCUCUGACGUUAGCGGCGGACGGGUGAGUAACACGUGGAUAACCUACCUAUAAGACUGGGAUAACUUCGGGAAACCGGAGCUAAUACCGGAUAAUAUAUUGAACCGCAUGGUUCAAUAGUGAAAGACGGUUUUGCCGUCACUUAUAGAUGGAUCCGCGCCGCAUUAGCUAGUUGGUAAGGUAACGGCUUACCAAGGCAACGAUGCGUAGCCGACCUGAGAGGGUGAUCGGCCACACUGGAACUGAGACACGGUCCAGACUCCUACGGGAGGCAGCAGUAGGGAAUCUUCCGCAAUGGGCGAAAGCCUGACGGAGCAACGCCGCGUGAGUGAUGAAGGUCUUCGGAUCGUAAAACUCUGUUAUUAGGGAAGAACAAAUGUGUAAGUAACUAUGCACGUCUUGACGGUACCUAAUCAGAAAGCCACGGCUAACUACGUG